GACGAACGCUGGCGGCGUGCUUAACACAUGCAAGUCGAGCGGUAAGGCCCUUUCGGGGGUACACGAGCGGCGAACGGGUGAGUAACACGUGAGCAAUCUGCCCUUCACUUCGGGAUAACCACCGGAAACGGUGGCUAAUACCGGAUAUGACUGCCUUGGGCAUCCGGGGUGGUGGAAAGUUUUUUCGGUGGAGGAUGAGCUCGCGGCCUAUCAGCUUGUUGGUGGGGUGAUGGCCUACCAAGGCGACGACGGGUAGCCGGCCUGAGAGGGUGACCGGCCACACUGGGACUGAGACACGGCCCAGACUCCUACGGGAGGCAGCAGUGGGGAAUAUUGGACAAUGGGCGGAAGCCUGAUCCAGCAACGCCGCGUGAGGGAUGACGGCCUUCGGGUUGUAAACCUCUUUCAGUACCGACGAAGCGCGAGUGACGGUAGGUACAGAAGAAGCACCGGCCAACUACGUGCCAGCCGCCGCCGUAAGAC
rnacentral:rRNA from 1 species